AAAACACCAGUUCUCAUAUGAUCACUGAAGUUAAGCAACAUCAAGCCUGGUCAGUACCUAGAUGGGUAACUGUUUGGGAAUGCCAUGUGUUGUAA